rnacentral:rRNA from 1 species
AGUGAACGCUGGCGGUAGGCCUAACACAUGCAAGUCGAACGGCAGCACAGUAAGAGCUUGCUCUUACGGGUGGCGAGUGGCGGACGGGUGAGGAAUACAUCGGAAUCUACUUUUUCGUGGGGGAUAACGUAGGGAAACUUACGCUAAUACCGCAUACGACCUACGGGUGAAAGCAGGGGAUCUUCGGACCUUGCGCGAUUGAAUGAGCCGAUGUCGGAUUAGCUAGUUGGCGGGGUAAAGGCCCACCAAGGCGACGAUCCGUAGCUGGUCUGAGAGGAUGAUCAGCCACACUGGAACUGAGACACGGUCCAGACUCCUACGAGAGGCAGCAGUGGGGAAUAUGAGACAGUGGGCGCAAGCCUGAUCCAGCCAUACCGCGUGGGUGAAGAAGGCCUUCGGGUUGUAAAGCCCUUUUGUUGGGAAAGAAAAGCAGCAGGUUAAGACCCCGCUGUUCUGACGGUACCCAAAGAAGAAGCACCGGCUAACUUCGUG